rnacentral:rRNA from 1 species
UUGAAAUUGCCAUACCACCCUGAACGCGCCCGAUCUCGUCUGAUCUCGGAAGCUAAGCAGGGUCGGGCCUGGUUAGUACUUGGAUGGGAGAUUGUUAUUUUCUCUUUACAAUUUAGUUACUAUUCAGA